AUACGUAGGUGACAAGCGUUAUCCGGAUUUACUGGGCGUAAAGGGCGCGUAGGCGGCGCGGUAAGUCUGGAGUGAAAGUCCUGCUUUCAAGGUGGGAAUUGCUUUGGAUACUGCCGCGCUUGAGUGCAGGAGAGGUUAUCGGAAUUCCCGGUGUAGCGGUGAAAUGCGUAGAGAUCGGGAGGAACACCAGUGGCGAAGGCGGGUAACUGGACUGCAACUGACGCUGAGGCGCGAAAGUGUGGGGAGCAAACAGGAUUAGAUACCCUGGUAGUCCACGCGGUAAACGAUGAAUGCUAGGUGUUGCGGGUAUCGACCCCUGCAGUGCCGGAGUAAACUCAAUAAGCAUUCCGCCUGGGGAGUACGGCCGCAAGGUUGAAACUCAAAUGAAUUGGCGGGG
rnacentral:rRNA from 1 species